GAUGAACGCUGGCGGCGUGCCUAAUACAUGCAAGUCGAGCGAACAGACGAGGAGCUUGCUCCUCUGACGUUAGCGGCGGACGGGUGAGUAACACGUGGAUAACCUACCUAUAAGACUGGGAUAACUUCGGGAAACCGGAGCUAAUACCGGAUAAUAUAUUGAACCGCAUGGUUCAAUAGUGAAAGACGGUUUUGCUGUCACUUAUAGAUGGAUCCGCGCCGCAUUAGCUAGUUGGUAAGGUAACGGCUUACCAAGGCAACGAUGCGUAGCCGACCUGAGAGGGUGAUCGGCCACACUGGAACUGAGACACGGUCCAGACUCCUACGGGAGGCAGCAGUAGGGAAUCUUCCGCAAUGGGCGAAAGCCUGACGGAGCAACGCCGCGUGGGUGAUGAAGGUCUUCGGAUCGUAAAACUCUGUUAUUAGGGAAGAACAAAUGUGUAAGUAACUAUGCACGUCUUGACGGUACCUAAUCAGAAAGCCACGGCUAACUACGU
rnacentral:rRNA from 1 species